CUAGUUGCAGCAUCGGCACAACACAUAUUCUAGCAAACAGACCUAUGUUUGACACAUUCUACCACAAAGUGCCUGUCCAAAGGCUUCGGCACUGUGGCUCAUGUAGAAAACUGAAAAAUGUCUCAACUGUAGUAGCAUACAUAUCUAACAUCUUUUGUCCUUUCAUAAAGCAACGAAAGUUCAGAACAUACCAUCUUAAACCGGUGAGCGACUUGGUUUACAUCAUCUCCUAGUUGACCUGAGCUACAAAUUUAUUGUUUCCAUAAAUUAGGUAAAUAAUGUUUGUACAAUGAAUUUUAAAUGUAAAAGCAGCCUACUAGAAAUUAAGGCAUAAUAUCAUGACGUGUGAAAAAGCUCAAUAAACUACAUCAACACAAGCAAAAUGACAGACAAAAUACAUGAUAAUAUUUUUUUCGCCCAUGGAUAUGUACUUCCAAAUAGCUUUAUAUUAACAUCAUAUGCACAUGCUGAAGGAAAAUUUUAAUUAGAUCAACCAAGGCAAAAAUAUAUCGUGUAAGAUCUCAUCUCUUGUAAAAAGAAACUGGCGCAAAUAGAAAGCAGAAAUCUAAGACCAUUUAGGAAAAGAGUUAACCAGUUAAUCGGUAAAAGACAACAAUGUAAGAUGUCAUCAGUUAUAAAAAACCUGAUCAAGGAGCACAUAAAUCACUUCCCGCAGGGCGCCCUCCCCUGCCUCCAUCCUGAGCACCUCCAUCCCGUGAGCACUCAAGCCCUGGAUCCAUAGUCUCGAGCUCGACCGAGCUCCGCCAUCUCUGCC
rnacentral:lncRNA from 1 species